rnacentral:lncRNA from 1 species
GAAAAAGGUAAGUAUAUAAUUACAAGAAACAAUACAAGAUAUGAAUAUUUCUUUCUUCUUUUUACAGAUCACCUGAACCCCUCCUGCACCAGCGAUUUCCCCUUAGCCCACUCAAGGCUACAAAGCUGGGUGGCCCGCGUGCUGCCAGUCCCUAAGGGACACAGGUGCUGACACAGUGCUAGCAGUCACUGACCUGGACCAAGAAAGGCCAGAGGAUGGAGAUGAGGGAGGGAACAAGCGGCUCAGAAAUAGCUAACAUGCUUGACAAGGGACAAGAUGUCUUAUAUGUUUCCAGUCUGCUCCCCGGCUCCGCCGCUCCCACGCCUGCUGGAGAAAGCAGUGUGAUGGAAUUCUAAGCACUCCAAAACACUCCUGUGAGUAUAGUUUAUUGCCGGCGUACUGCUCCAGGACAGGCUGGAAAUCAUUAUUUACUCCUCAAGGCCAUUCCACAACAUUGAGCUUUAGAGGUUUAGGUAUUUGUUCAUAUUACGUUUUCUGUAUGCCUGUGUAGUGAGCCCCCAACCCCCCCUCACCUCCCUCGCAACUUGUUGUCACCCCUGGUUUUAUUUGCUGUGGGAGUUGUAAAGCACUGAAUGUCAGUUGAUAUCUUUCACUAUAGCAUGCCAUGACUUUUCCUGCGGAGACUGAUGGAGCGAGUCAGUGAUGCUCAGCUCAAAGUUGCUUCGUCCUUUAACCUCUUAAACUGCAGACUAAUAAAAUGAAUGCUCCUAACUCA